rnacentral:lncRNA from 1 species
AGUGCUACUGCCUCCGCCGCCGCCGAGACGACACCCGCCGCCGCCGCGAACCGAAACUAGCAGCAAAGUAAUCCCCGCCGCCGCCGCGCGCCCGCUCUACCUCGCGAGGCACACAAGACAAGGCGCGCGCGUGGCUGCAAAGGCUCCUGCGCCUCUCCCCGGCCUGCCCCCCUCGCCUCCCACUCUCGCGCAGCGCGCACUCUCACUCUCCCCGGCUGCACUAAAAAAGAAUAAGUAGCAGCGGCGGCCACUCUCGCCUCCUCCUCGCUUUAAUGGCGCCGCCGCGGACCACCUAAAAUGGCCGACGGAAGAACGGCGCGUCCCGGUCACGUGACUCCAGAGCGCGCCCUUUGCGCCUCCUCCGCCCCUUCCACCGCUAGUCCCCACCCCCCACGGGCCCGCCCUCCCGUUCCCUUUUAUACUUGCUCUCACGCUCCUCGGUCGCGCGGCGCGGGCCUUUAAAGGGAACCGGAAGUGGCGUGCACAAGAGGGUCGCGCGGGUACCAUCGAGAACAAGGAGCGCUGGUUCGAGGGCGCGGCUAGAGAGAACCCCCUUCCCUUGGCCCCGCCCUUCCGCGGAUUCCUGGAGUCACUGGCGGCUCCUCGGCUGCGGCUGGCCCGAGCGGCGGACCUGGAGGGGUGUGGUUCGUCCAGCCCAGCGGCGGCUUCGCGGACCCUGCCCUCAGGAGCCCGGGCUGUGGGCCCAGUGGCCUGCGUGGGGCGUGUGCAGUGCUCCGGCGUCCCCGCCUGCGCCGGGUGACAUUGAGGUUCCGCCGCGGCGCCGUCUUAAGGCCGCCUGAUGGUCGAGGCUGCCUUUUCUCAGAGUUGCUUCCCAACUCUUUCCGCUUAUGCCUCCGUUAUUGAAGAGCCUAGAGCCGGCCACGGUUCUUUGAAGUUCUAGAGAUUGGGAGGUGUGUUAAGGUCGACUCCAGGGUUCCUUUUUUCUUUCUUUUUUUUUUUUUAUACGAGUUCCAGUCCUUGUAUUAAAUAGGAUAUAUAAAUGUCAUGAAUCAUCUUU